GAUGAAGAACGCAGCGAAAUGCGAUACGUAAUGUGAAUUGCAGAAUUCAGUGAAUCAUCGAAUCUUUGAACGCAUAUUGCGCUCUCUGGUAUUCCGGAGAGCAUGCUUGUUUGAGUAUCAGUAAACACCUCAACUUCCAUAUCUUUUUUUGAAAUGGGAGUUGGACUUGAGUGAUCCCAACGCUUUUCCUCACCGAAAAGUGGCGGGUUACUUGAAAUGCAGGUGCAGCUGGACUUUUCUCUGAGCUAUAAGCAUAUCUAUUUAGUCUGCCUAAAAAACAGAUUAUUACCUUUGCUGCAGCUAACAUAAAGGAGAUUAGUUCUUGUGCUGACUGAUGCAGGAUUCACAAAGACAGCUUCGGCCGACUUUGUAAACUCGAUCUCAAAUCAAGUAAGACUACCCGCUGAACUUAAGCAUAUCAUAAGCGGAGGA
rnacentral:misc_RNA from 1 species